UUAAUGAUGAAAAACCAUUACAGACCUGUUCUGAUGCCAUUUGGUGUUUGAGGACAACCUUAUAUUGCCUUUUUUUCUGA
rnacentral:snoRNA from 1 species